rnacentral:siRNA from 1 species
CGAGAAAAAUCUAUCGGGUCCGA